GCAGACUAGAGUGCAGUAGGGGAGACUGGAAUUCCUGGUGUAGCGGUGAAAUGCGCAGAUAUCAGGAGGAACACCGAUGGCGAAGGCAGGUCUCUGGGCUGUAACUGACGCUGAGGAGCGAAAGCAUGGGGAGCGAACAGGAUUAGAUACCCUGGUAGUCCAUGCCGUAAACGUUGGGCACUAGGUGUGGGGGACAUUCCACGUUUUCCGCGCCGUAGCUAACGCAUUAAGUGCCCCGCCUGGGGAGUACGGCCGCAAGGCUAAAACUCAAAGGAAUUGACGGGGGCCCGCACAAGCGGCGGAGCAUGCGGAUUAAUUCGAUGCAACGCGAAGAACCUUACCAAGGCUUGACAUGAACCGGAAUGAUGCAGAGAUGUGUCAGCCACUUGUGGCCGGUUUACAGGUGGUGCAUGGUUGUCGUCAGCUCGUGUCGUGAGAUGUUGGGUUAAGUCCCGCAACGAGCGCAACCCUCGUUCCAUGUUGCCAGCGGGUUAUGCCGGGGACUCAUGGGAGACUGCCGGGGUCAACUCGGAGGAAGGUGGGGACGACGUCAAAUCAUCAUGCCCCUUAUGUCUUGGGCUUCACGCAUGCUACAAUGGCCGGUACAAAGGGUUGCGAUACUGUGAGGUGGAGCUAAUCCCAAAAAGCCGGUCUCAGUUCGGAUUGAGGUCUGCAACUCGACCUCAUGAAGUUGGAGUCGCUAGUAAUCGCAGAUCAGCAACGCUGCGGUGAAUACGUUCCCGGGCCUUGUACACACCGCCCGUCAAGUCACGAAAGUUGGUAACACCCGAAGCCGGUGGCCUAACCC
rnacentral:rRNA from 1 species